rnacentral:lncRNA from 1 species
AUUUUAUCUCUAAUUUUAGCAUCUGGGUUUAAUAUGGAAAUUGAAUUAUAUGAUUUCUAGUCUCCUGGGUUUAUGAUUUUCUCUUCCCUGAGGGAUUACAAGGUAACCAGGUUUACAGUUGUCUCAGGGAACACAAAGUGUGGCUGAAUGUUGGGAGAUUACUUGGGAGAAUUUUUUCUUAAGAUAAGUAGAACUCAGCUUGGAGCCUUCCCUGGUCAUAGGCUCCCUGAAAGUGCUUUUUUAAGUCUGGAUGGAGGAGGCUCCUGAGAACAUCUUGUCUAUUGUAUUCAGAAAGGCUUGAGUCUAUGAUCUAGCCAGAGAACAACAGUUCUUGAAAAAGUAGGAAAGUGUUGUUCACAGGUCUCCUUUUAUUAUUUCUUUUGUCUUUUUUCUGCUUACAACCCAGAACGGUUGGAGAGGAAACAGAGGAAAUGAUUGGCAGCUGUGUGACUAUACUGAGAAAUUACAGUUUGUUUUUAGAGAUCACUGUUGGCAAUCCUGUCAAGUUAUUAUUCCUCUGUUGUGUACAGUACACUGUCUGAAAACAUUUGGUUGCUGUCUUUUCUUCCAGAUCAGUUGGAAAAGAGCCCUGUGUUCUUCUUCACCCUAGUGAGAGCAGAGAACAUGAUCUGAAAUAAGGCUUUAAACAGUUACAAUCGAGGAGAUAUAGAAGGGUCAAAAAGACUGGGUCGCAAUGCGCUCUGGGUUGCUGUCGCAUCAAUUUUCAUUGGCCUUGUCGUCAUCGGAAUCUAUUGCGUAGUUCAUUUCACAACGUAUGCUAUCUGAAGACCAGGACUGCACUUGAAGGAUAUCGUCAUGUAAAUCUCAGGAGGGGAAAAGUAAGAAGAAAAGGAAGUUCUUCAUUCCAGACUCUUAGAUUUGACCCUGCAAGUCUCUCUGCAGAGGCAUGUUGCUGGUGGAUCAACUGAUAAUUCAGUUAGUUAAUCAGUGUGGUGUGACCAGGUAUUCAAAAUGAUUUAUUUAUAAGGAAUCUCAGUAUAAAGCAGAAUUUUCUCUUUUACUCUAAUGUACAAUGAGAUCUUGCCCUAAUGACUCCCUUUUCUUUCUAAUUUAUGUGGAAUGUAUGCUGGAUCCAUGGUGUUCCCUGGCUGAGCCUAGUCAGUCAAAGCCAACUUACCUAGACUGUUUAUAGUGCAUAGUGUAGGAUCUGAUGCACAACCUGCUAGUAGAACCUAGUAGGAGAACUCCUGCUGCCUCCAGUGGACUUUGGGUCAGGCCAUUAAGGAUUCUUAUAUUCCUUUAAAAUAGCCUCAACAUAAACUAGUCAUAACCACAAGUUUGUGAUUUUAUCUUGCUAUGUGCUUUUAUAAUGCCGUGGGUGUACUCUGACUCAGCGGCUGCUUUCUUUGUCACCUUCAGCUUUUCAGUCUUUCACAUUGUUUUUUUCACCACGCAGUGACUGAUUUCAAUAAUUUGAUUAUUAAGAGACACUCUUGUUCCAUAGCAUUCAUAUUUUUCUUAAUGAUAUCUUUUUGUUUUGUUGUCUUUCAUUGUUGAACUCCCUUGACUUAGCUUCAGCCCUGCAUUAAAGUUGUACUGAGCAUAUUUUUCUCUUUAAACUUCUCUGAUCCAUGUACGUAAGAAGUUUCUCUAUUUUUUCAUUUGACAAAGGAUCUUCUUUUUAAAUAGAUAUGUUUCUUCCUCCCUUUGUUAUUGCUCCUCUAGCAAGUCACAUAGUUUCAUUAUAUUCUGCUUUGUCAGUGUCUUUUUGUUUGAUUUACCCUCUCAUCUUGCUGUGAAUAGUCUGUACAUCAAUGCAGUUAGACAUGGACAGAUUCUUCUACCCUUACUGGUGUUACAUAGACUCUUGCUGAUCUUGAGUUACUACUCAGUGAACAGCCUUAAAUUACAGAAUUGAUGGUCUCUAAAUUAAUGCAAUUUCUUGAUACCUUACGAAAAUAUAGCAUG